rnacentral:rRNA from 1 species
AACGAACGCUGGCGGCAGGCUUAACACAUGCAAGUCGAACGCCCCGCCAGGGGAGUGGCAGACGGGUGAGUAACACGUGGGAACAUGCCCAAAGGUACGGAAUAUUCUCGGGAAACUGAGAGCAAUACCGUAUGUGCCCGAAAGGGGAAAGAUUUAUCGCCUUUGGAUUGGCCCGCGUCGGAUUAGCUAGUUGGUGGGGUAAAAGCCUACCAAGGCGACGAUCCGUAGCUGGUCUGAGAGGACGACCAGCCACACUGGGACUGAGACACGGCCCAGACUCCUACGGGAGGCAGCAGUGGGGAAUCUUGGACAAUGGGCGCAAGCCUGAUCCAGCCAUGCCGCGUGGAUGAUGAAGGCCCUAGGGUUGUAAAAUCCUUUCGUUGGGGACGAUAAUGACGGUACCCAAAGAAGAAGCGCCGGCUAACUUCGUG